AUACCGCGUGUGUGAAGAAGGCCUUCGGGUUGUAAAGCACUUUAAGCAGGGAGAAAAAGUUAUAGGUUAAUACCCUAUGACCUUGAUGUUACCUGCAGAAUAAGCACCGGCUAAUUCCGUGCCAGCAGCCGCGGUAAUACGGAAGGUGCAAGCGUUAAUCGGAAUUACUGGGCGUAAAGCGCGCGUAGGUGGUUUGUUAAGUUGGAUGUGAAAGCCCUGGGCUCAACCUAGGAACUGCAUCCAAAACUAACUCACUAGAGUACGAUAGAGGGAGGUAGAAUUCAUAGUGUAGCGGUGGAAUGCGUAGAUAUUAUGAAGAAUACCAGUGGCGAAGGCGGCCUCCUGGAUCUGUACUGACACUGAGGUGCGAAAGCGUGGGUAGCGAACAGGAUUAGAUACCCUGGUAGUCCACGCCGUAAACGAUGACAACUAGCUGUUGGGAGACUAUGUCUUUCAGUGGCGCAGCUAACGCUUUAAGUUGUCCGCCUGGGGAGUACGGCCGCAAGGCUAAAACUCAAAUGAAUUGACGGGGACCCGCACAAGCGGUGGAGCAUGUGGUUUAAUUCGAUGCAACGCGAAAAACCUUACCUACUCUUGACAUACUUGGAGGCUCUUGUAAUGAGAGCGUGCCUUUUGGAACCAAGAUACAGGUGCUGCAUGGCUGUCGUCAGCUCGUGUCGUGAGAUGUUCCGUUAAGUCGGAUAACGAGCGCAACCCUUACCCUUAUUUGCCAGCGAUUCGGUCGGGAACUAUAAGGGGACUGCCGGUGAUAAACCGGAGGAAGGUGAGGACGACGUCAAGUCAUCAUGGCCCUUACGAGUAGGGCUACACACGUGCUACAAUGGAGAAUACAGACGGACGCUAAGCCGCGAGGUGGUGCUAAUCCUAGAAAGUUCUUCGUAGUCCGGAUUGGAGUCUGCAACUCGACUCCAUGAAGUCGGAAUCGCUAGU
rnacentral:rRNA from 1 species